CCUGACUUAUACAUACAAGAUGUACAGAGUACAAUUCUACAUGGAAAUCAGUAAUGAUUAACCAUAAGCAUAACUGAAUGAAACACUCUUAGUAGAGUUAAGAAAAACUUGCAUGCACCGUUGAUUACCGUUACGAAAUAUAACUUAGCUUUAUCCGAAGACCUAAUAUAGAUAAUAUCAAUCUCCAAACAUUAGAAUAUUAUCAUCACAGUAUAAAAUAACCUAACACAUUACCACAUAAUCUUAUCAGUCUAUACAGCACAUAAGACAUAG
rnacentral:lncRNA from 1 species